UACUGUACUUUUAUCACCGGGUAUUUCAACAGUUAAUGGUUAAAAAAUUGUUAUUUUUAUAAAAAGGUUAUUUCUAUCGCUUUCUAUAUCUGACAGUUAUUCCGUUAUGUGGGGUCCACCAAUGAUUGUGCCGUCGUACGAAUAAUCCCUGGCAAAAAGAAUAUUUUCCGACCAAACGAAUAUUUUAUGACAACUUACUUGUAAAAUUUGCACAUAUCUCCCACAAUUAUAGCAUUAAAUCAAAUCCAC
rnacentral:lncRNA from 1 species